CAGGACAUAGCGCAGUCUGGAAGCGCACCUGUUUUGGGUACAGGGGGUCAUAGGUUCAAAUCCUGUUGUCCUGA
rnacentral:tRNA from 1 species